AUGCGAGGGGUUCCACUGUACUGUGCUAACAGUGCCAGCCAGGCUUACUUCGGUGGAGGAACCAGGUUAACUGUCCUAGAGCCAGGCCUCACUGUCUCUCCACCCAAAGUGAAAGUCCUUCCACCCUCCACUAAGGAGUGUGAAGAUAGAAACAAGAAGAAGAAGAAGACCCUGGUGUGUGUGGCCACCGACUUCUACCCCGACCACGUCACUGUGUUCUGGCAGUUGAAUGGAGGCGCCAACAUCACCGAUGGAGUUGGGACCGACAACACGGCCUUGAGUGGUAAAAACAAACUCUACAGUAUCACCAGCAGACUGAGAGUCCCAGCCAGGAAAUGGAACAAGGCCUCUAACAGAUUCACCUGCACCGUCCGCUUCUUCAAUGGGACCACUGACAUAUAUGUUGCAGAUCACAUUAACGGAGAAGAAGGUCAAGGUGGUGAUGGAGGGAUUACGACAGAGUACUAUGUGAGGAGCACUAAGACUGCCAAGCUGGCCUACAGCAUCUUCAUCGCUAAGAGUACCUUCUACGGCCUGGUCGUCAUGGCUCUGAUUUGGAAGUUUCAGCGCUCCUCAGAUAAACAGAUGUAAUUGAUCACUGACCGAGACCCGGCCACCCGUGGAAGCUGAGCUCGGUGGACUGGAGGGCGUCAAGUGUGGCAUAAGGUUCUGGUGAAAAGUAGUGCACUAUAAAGUAGUGCACUAUAAAGUAGUGCACUAUAAAGUAGUGCACUAUAAAGGGAAUAGGGUGCCAUCUGGGACGAAGAACAAACCCAUGUCUGUCAUGUGAUUACAAUGUACAGUGUGCUUUCUAUUAACUGUCACUCUACAAUGUGAGGAUGUAUUUUAUCGUCCCCAAUAAACAGAAUCUUUAUUAAUGUAUUCACUGAGUGUACAAAACAUUAAGAACACCUUCCUCAUAUUGAGUUGCAACCCCCCCCCGGGGCAUGGCCUCUACAAGGUGGCGAAAGCGUUCCACAGGGUUGCUGGCCCAUGUUGACUCCAAUGCUUCCCACAGUUGUGUCAAAUUGGCUGGAUGUCCUUUGGC